UCUUGCUACAACACAGGACACCUCAUUUAGAAUGAAAAUUGGCUUUGAUAAAACCAUGUGAGCCUGUGCAGAUUACAUAUGAGCUAUUAGAAAAUGAAAAACAAAGGCUGUGAAUAUGUUCACUGAUCGUCUGGCCAGUGUCUAGCAUCUUGCUUGAAAAUUCUUGCCUAAUUUGGGUAGAUUCCACAAAGAACUGGAAACUAACAGAAUCUGGGUUUGCUUUGUUAGAUUGAACCUGGAAUGAAACAAGAGAAAGACAGUGUUCUUAAGUUUUGUCUAUGUUAAAAUUUUUCCGGUUUAGUAGCUCUCUACCCAUUUAGCUGCAAGUUACUACCCAUAUCAUGUCAGCUUUUCAGGGGUAAAGUGGAGUCAUAGGUGUGCCUCAGAUCAUGAAUGACCACAAAGAAUGUUGGAAUGUACUUUCAGACAAUUUGAUGUCACUGUAGAUGAAGAAGAAAAAUUGUCAAAUGAAAGAAAGAGAGAAAGAAAGAAAGAAAGAAAGAAAGAAAGAAGAGAAAAAGAAAGGAAAACAUAUUAUAUAUACUAUAUACAUAUAUACAACAAAUAUAUACAUAUAUAAUAGAUAUAUAACAAAUAUAUAUAACAAAUAUAUACAUAUAUAAUAGAUAUAUAAAUGUGUCAGUACAUACUUGUCUUAUUUUACUUCUAUUAAUGUGAUAACACACUGAUGAAAAACUUACAAUCCCUAUCAUAGCCCAUCAUGAAGGGACAUCAGGCAGGAACAGAAGCAGAGGCCACACUGCUUACUGACCUAUACCUUACGGCUUGCUCAACCAGUGUUUUUAUACAAUCCAAGACUUCCAGCCCAGGGGUGGCACUGCCCAUGGCAGACUGGACCCGCACACAUCAACCAUGAGAAUAUGUCUCCACAGAUUGGCUUUUAGGCAACCUGAUGGAGACAUUUCCUGAGGUGAGGUUUCCUCUUCCCAGAUAACCCUAGCUUGUGUCAUAGUGACC
rnacentral:lncRNA from 1 species